GACCCAGCCUGGAACAAAUACCCCGCGCGCGCCGCAGGCAGACGGAUCCCUGGACCCCUAGACCCCCGGCUUCCCUGGGCGGUGCAGACACCCGCGAGUCCCCAGGCCGCCGCCGCCGCCUCUGCUGGGCUGCAAGGGACGCGCAGCGGGGUCGGGCCUGGGGCGCAGGGUCGGGGUUGGGCGCCGGGGCUGGGGGAGUGAGGGGUUGUGCUUCCAGGUGAGCCGGCCGGGAGGAGAGGCAAGUGGAGUAGAGGCUGCCAGCCGAGGUCCCAUUAAAGUUGUCACUCGGGGGGAACAAGGAAUCUUCCGCCCCCGCCUAGUGUAGACCCUCGCAGUGCGGGCUGCCACCCUGCUGUCCCGCGCCGGGGGUGAGGAGGGACGAGCACGCGACUGUCACCCCCCCCCCCCACACACACACACUGUCCUCCAAAGGCAGGGCUGCGCGCGGGUCUCGACCCAGGGCACAAAGCGCGUCUCUGCAGGGACCACUGCGAUUUCUCAACAGGCGAGAAUCCAAGAAAAAGAAGCUGGAGAGAGUGGCGCACGAGAGAAACAGGGAGGAUUUUACCAAGGCUCCCGCAAACGCCAAGCGGAGGGGAGGCAGAGGUGCAGGAAUAGUCCCCGGGUGCCGGGGCUGCUGUCUGAUACUCUUCGGGGCUCCAAGACAGAGCCGGGUGAAAACCGGAGACCGUGAGCCCCGCCGAGGUCCGGAAACGUGGCCAGUUUCCCCUUCACCCGGGCGGCGGCGUUCACAGCGGGGGGGCGCCAGGGUGGAAGCCCCGGAGAGGGAAAGGUCCCCUGCACGCCCCCACGAGGUCACCGCUUCCCUAGCCUUAGGUGCCUGGCCUGGCGCAGCGCUCUGAGCGAGGCAGCCUUUUCCGGACGUCUCUCAGUCCCUGGUACAUUCCGGCAAGUGGCCCUGGAGGGAAAGCGCCCCCGCUGGCCCUUUUCUGUCAUACUCGAUUUUGUGGCCAAAAGGGGUCUCCUAAGCGCGCCAGGCCCCUGCGGUGGACUGGGGGUCGCCCCCGACGCGGUUCCUCUUGCUGUCUAGCCCUCUCCCGCGCAGAUCCGACCAACAGCGCCUUAUUUGGGCAUGCAACCCCACACCGUCAAUUAGAUCAAAACGCUCACACAGAGCUCCUUUCUCCCCCCCUUAAAGUAGGUCAUUCUCUUUAUUUCCUACUUGUAAAUUAUUUGUGUCUAAUUCUCCUCCUGAAAAAUAAUCAGCUGCAAGGAGCUUUGAGCAUCCUAAGAGCAGCUGUUAUUCUCAGGCUUGCUUCUGACUUGGAGGGCUUUUCAAGAAAGAGGAGGAGGCAUUUGGCCCGUCAUGGUUUUGAAGUCCCUCCGUUUCCAAAAGAAGAAACUUUUUUUUUUUUUGAUGUAUUUUAUUUUGUUUUGUUUUUCUACCCCAUCCUUUUCCUCCAGGCAAGUAGGUUUCACGCCGCCUUUAGAGCGUGGCCAUGACUAAUAUUACUAAAGGAUGAAAUUGCCUACUUCUAACCGGGUUUAAAGCAGAAUUUAAAGUCACCUCCCUUCCUUUUUUGCUUUGGAAGAGAUUCCAACUCCCUUUUCCUACUCCCUUUUGGGAACAUGUUGAACAAGCAUUAAAUGAUCUUUUAGGAAACCUGGAAUGUCCUGUAGUAAUAACUCAUCAAAUAAUUCUGCAGUGCAAGAAGUAUUUUUGCUGUGGUCUCUUUUUCUCUGUUGUCCAGUAGAUGCCCCUACUAAAUGUGGUUUCUGCCUUUUUAGUCUUGGA